GGAACUUCUGAAGCAGACACAAGCGGUAAUCAAAUAAAACUUUCAAGAUUUUUGUCUUUCGAGUGGCAAAUAAAUUUAAUUUGUCUGCCGAGCUUAAAUUCAUAAUCAAGAUUUGCAUUUUAAUGCCUUUGUGGGGGGGGAAAAGCAGAGUAAAAAAGGAAACGGGAGGCAGGAAAGGAGGAGAUGGCUAUGCAAACAUUUCCAUUAAAUGCCCGAACGGAAUGAAACGAAAGUGGGAUGGCUAAGGCAGCUCCAAAGGAAAACUAGAGUAAACACAUGCUCAAAGGAGCUGGGCGCAAAAUGGGGUUUCAACUGGAAAAUGGCCACCCAGCGGAGAGUGGGAGUGAGAGCGAUGGGAGUGGACGUCAACGACUGCGAAACGAUGUUGGAAAUUAAUUUCAUAAUAAAAAAGCCAGGCACUUCAGACUGCGUCCUGGAAAUGAAUAAAAAUUACAGUUUUCUGCGCAAAAACACUUGAGGCAACGAUUCGGAUUUGGAAUAAUAUGGAAAUUGCACAGGACCUGGGGAGCUGGGUAAUAAGGAAAGCCACAAAACCACAACUGAAAAUGGAUUACCGGACUUUCCGGGGGGAAAACUCUUCCAUCGCAGAACGGAGCUGUUGGUAACAUUAAUUAAAGGCUCUAAUAGAAGCUGCCACCUCCUAAUGGUUUCUUUUACAUACGCGUAUAUUAAAUUUAAUAUUUGGCGGCCUUUUUCAUCCACAGGAUAAGCCAGAUAUACAUUGUAUAUACAUAAAUAAAAUGACCAUAAAUAUAAUGUAUAUCGAAAAGCUUACAAGGAAACAUUAUUUUAAACAAAUUGUACAAAAUUAUUCGUAAUAAUAAUCAAUACUUCUGAUGUGUUUUUUACAGAGAUCCAAAUUUGUGUAAACGCUUGUGUAUGGCAACUUUUUAAUUUUAAUGCAUACUUCCUUUUAUUAUAACUGUUACUUGUUAAGUAAAAGGGUAUAUAAUAUUCCAUUAAAAGUAUGUAAAAGAUAGAACGAAGCGUUUCGUAUUCUAUUAAGUAUAUAUAUUCUUCAUUAGGCCCUCUAGCCGAUUUAAUCUAGCCGUAUCCGUACGUUUGUCUAUCCGUCCGCCCAGGUCUAUUUUGCAUAUGUCCAUAUCCGUCGCAUUUUCACUAGCUCUCUUCCUUUACCCUUGUAUAAAAAGUAUAAUUAAAAGAAACUCUUGAAUAGAUAUCGGGACUUUAUUCCUAAACAUAUAGUUAAUAGAUUCUGUAUUAAUAUAUAAUUUCCCUUAAAUAUACCAAUCUAUCAAAGUUGUAA